rnacentral:rRNA from 1 species
GCGGGACUGCAAGUUGGAUGUGAAAUACCGGAGCUCAACUCCGGAACUGCAUCCAAAACUGUAGUUCUUGAGUGGAGUAGAGGUAAGCGGAAUUCCGAGUGUAGCGGUGAAAUGCGUAGAUAUUCGGAGGAACACCAGUGGCGAAGGCGGCUUACUGGGCUCUAACUGACGCUGAGGCACGAAAGUGUGGGUAGCAAACAGGAUUAGAUACCCUGGUAGUCCACACUGUAGACGAUGAAUACUAGGUGUGGGGGGACUGACCCCUUCCGUGCCGGAGUUAACACAAUAAGUAUUCCACCUGGGGAGUACGACCGCAAGGUUGAAACUCAAAGGAAUUGACGGGGGCCCGCACAAGCAGUGGAGUAUGUGGUUUAAUUCGAAGCAACGCGAAGAACCUUACCAGGUCUUGACAUCCGACUAACGAAGUAGAGAUACAUUAGGUGCCCUUCGGGGAAAGUCGAGACAGGUGGUGCAUGGUUGUCGUCAGCUCGUGUCGUGAGAUGUUGGGUUAAGUCCCGCAACGAGCGCAACCCCUGCCAAUAGUUGCUACGCAAGAGCACUCUAUUGGGACCGCUACCGACAAGGUGGAGGAAGGUGGGGAUGACGUCAAAUCAUCAUGCCCUUUAUGACCUGGGCUACACACGUACUACAAUGGCCGUUAACAGAGGGAAGCAAUAUCGCGAGGUGGAGCAAAUCCCUAAAAACGGUCCCAGUUCAGAUUGUAGGCUGCAACUCGCCUAUAUGAAGUUGGAAU